UGAACGCUGGCGGCGUGCCUAAUACAUGCAAGUCGAGCGAACGGACGAGAAGCUUGCUUCUCUGAUGUUAGCGGCGGACGGGUGAGUAACACGUGGAUAACCUACCUAUAAGACUGGGAUAACUUCGGGAAACCGGAGCUAAUACCGGAUAAUAUUUUGAACCGCAUGGUUCAAAAGUGAAAGACGGUCUUGCUGUCACUUAUAGAUGGAUCCGCGCUGCAUUAGCUAGUUGGUAAGGUAACGGCUUACCAAGGCAACGAUGCAUAGCCGACCUGAGAGGGUGAUCGGCCACACUGGAACUGAGACACGGUCCAGACUCCUACGGGAGGCAGCAGUAGGGAAUCUUCCGCAAUGGGCGAAAGCCUGACGGAGCAACGCCGCGUGAGUGAUGAAGGUCUUCGGAUCGUAAAACUCUGUUAUUAGGGAAGAACAUAUGUCUAAGUAACUGUGCACAUCUUGACGGUACCUAAUCAGAAAGCCACGGCUAACUACGUG
rnacentral:rRNA from 1 species